GGGGUUGUGGCUUAGUGAUAGAACAUCUGCCUUGCACGCAGAAGGUCCCAGGUUCAAUCCCCAGCAUUGUUA